UAAACAACCUGCCUUCAGGAUGGGGACAACAGACGGAAACGACUGCUAAUACCGAAUAAGUUCCAAGGGCCGCAUGGCCCAUGGAAGAAAAGGUGGCCUCUACCUGUAAGCUAUCGCCUGAAGAGGGGUUUGCGUCUGAUUAGCUGGUUGGAGGGGUAACGGCCCACCAAGGCGACGAUCAGUAGCCGGUCUGAGAGGAUGAGCGGCCACACUGGAACUGAGACACGGUCCAG
rnacentral:rRNA from 1 species